rnacentral:rRNA from 1 species
CCUGUUGAUCCUGCCGGACCUGACUGCUAUCGGAUUGGUACUAAGCCAUGCGAGUCAUUGUAGCAAUACAAGGCGGACGGCUCAGUAACACGUAGUCAACCUAACUCGUGGACGUGGAUAACCUCGGGAAACUGAGAAUAAACCGCGAUAGAUCAUUAUGCCUGGAAUGGCUUAUGGUCCAAAUAGUUUACUGCCAUGGGAUGGGACUGCGGCCUAUCAGCUUGUUGGUGAGGUAAUGGCCCACCAAGGCUAUAACAGGUACGGGCUCUGAGAGGAGAAGCCCGGAGAUGGGUACUGAGACACGGACCCAGGCCCUAUGGGGCGCAGCAGGCGAGAAACCUUAGCAAUGUGCGAAAGCACGACUGGGUCAGUCCGAGUGAUUCCUGAUAAAGGAGUCUUUUGCUUGUCCUAAAAGCACAGGUGAAUAAGGGGUGGGCAAGUCUGGUGUCAGCCGCCGCGGUAAUACCAGCACCUCGAGUGGUCAGGACGUUUAUUGGGCCUAAAGCAUCCGUAGCCGGCUCUGCAAGUCUUCGGUUAAAUCCACCUGCUCAACAGAUGGGCCGCUGGAGAUACUACAGAGCUAGGGAGUGGGAGAGGCAGACGGUAUUCAGUGGGUUGGGGUAAAUCCUCUGAUCAUU